rnacentral:rRNA from 1 species
GAGAGUUCAAGAGUACGUGAAACCGUUUAGUAGUAAACAGAGGGGCUCUGGAAGUCGGCGGUGACGGUUCAGGGUGACGGCGGGGCGGCCUGGGGGCUUGGGAUUAGCAAUAACCCUGUCCCUUUGUUGGCUCUGUCGGCGCCUGCACUUCGUUGCCGCCAUACGCGACGAACCGUUUUUGACGGACCGAGGGCGUGGGUGAAGUUUGCGGGCUUCGGCCUUCAAGCCCCGCGUUCCUGGCUCUGUCGGGGACGGGUAGUGGAGCGAUCUCUUAUAGAGAGUGUCCUUGUUGGCACGGUUCGCAUCUCUGUCGCGAGUAGGUCCGCGGCCCCUCUGACCCGUCUUGAAACACGGACCA